rnacentral:rRNA from 1 species
AGAGUUUGAUCAUGGCUCAGGAUGAACGCUAGCGACAGGCUUAACACAUGCAAGUCGAGGGGUAGAAGGCUUCGGCCUUUGAGACCGGCGCACGGGUGCGAAACGCGUAUACAAUCUACCUAUUACAGGGGGAUAGCCCAGAGAAAUUUGGAUUAAUACCCCAUAGUAUUAUAGAGUGGCAUCAUUUUAUAAUUAAAGUUGAGGCGGUAAUAGAUGAGUAUGCGUCCUAUUAGCUAGUUGGUGAGGUAACGGCUCACCAAGGCUACGAUAGGUAGGGGUCCUGAGAGGGAGAUCCCCCACACUGGUACUGAGACACGGACCAGACUCCUACGGGAGGCAGCAGUGAGGAAUAUUGGUCAAUGGACGCAAGUCUGAACCAGCCAUGUCGCGUGCAGGAAGACGGCCUUAUGGGUUGUAAACUGCUUUUCUAUAGGGAGAAACCCCCUUUCGUGAGAGGGGCUGACGGUACUAUAGGAAUAAACACCGGCUAACUCCGUG